ensembl:snoRNA Gm22273 small nucleolar RNA SNORA17
CCUGUCCAUAGAAGUGUUGCAGGUGUGGCUGCUAUGUCACAUGUGCAUCAGUAGGUGGCAAAUAGGGAAGAGGCCAUGCCUGUAGUUAGUGUUCUGAGCUAAGAAGAUCUUAAUAAUUGGUAGCUUAACAUU